CCGGCCGCAACCUUGGGUUUCCUCUGCGGGAGACGGCGGCGGCUGAAGGCCGGGCUGCUCCGCCCGAUGCAUCGCGACGGCGGGUCGGCGGCGGCUCGCGGCAAGCAGCCCAUCUACACCAACCUUGUCGACUUGCAGUGUGUCCUUUAUAUCAGGACAACUAUGAGGUACUGCUCAAUGAGCUCCACUCAUUGAGUUGCUUGACUUGGGAAAGUUCUCAAAAUUCAUGGAUAUCGAUUUUCGUUACUCGGGGCAGCAUAUGUCUGCUAAAUGCUGACAACGCGGUGUUGGACUAUGUAUUUAAUAAGCCUUUUUUUAUCAACACGUAAACUCUUGGGGAGUCCUCCUUUCGUAUGUCAAAUUAUUUAACUCAGAUAUGCAUCAUCAUUAGCUGAUUAUUUUAUUUCUGCAAGCAGAGAUAACUUGUAACAUGUAUGCAUCGUGAUUGUGAUGUUUAAUUUUAUUGUUGGAGGUUCUCAAUGAAAUUUGUGGGAGUGGUAUUA